AGAUUGUUGUUUUCAAUGUAGAUGUAAGGGCCCUUCUAUGUUUAUGCUCUGUAUUGCUAUCCUUAAUUAUAUUUUCAGUUAAUUUGUGUUUGUUGGUGGGCUAUUGCCUUUAUUUCCCCUUUUAUUAAUGUCUUAAAAAACCAGUUUUGAGUUUCAUUUUAUCAUUCAUACGAUUACCAUAGAUUCUUAUCUCAUCAUUUAUAUUAAAAGGAAAAUGGAUGGAAAAUGCUACUGGUUAUUUAGCAUUUACUGUAAAGCAUCUUCUAUGUGCUGUUUUUAUUAUUAUAUUUUCAGUUGCUAAUAGCUGAGUUGUAUGUUUCAUGCAUAUUUUAAUGUUAUUUCAUCUUAGGAUACAAGUUACUUCAUGUUGCCGUGCUUCUGUUUUUGUUUGCAUGGUUGACUUCUCUUUUUUUUCCCUUUCAUAUUUUCUUAAUGUUUUUAUUCUACUUUUGCCCUCACCAUGUGCAUUGCUAUUCAAUUGGCCAGGGCCGCGAAAUCCCAAUUGUCCAU
rnacentral:misc_RNA from 1 species